rnacentral:lncRNA from 1 species
CACGAUAUGUGAAUAAUAAACUAAUAAUGUUAUUCAUACCACUUUAUUACUGAUUACAUGUUCAGCAUGCCUACUACUACUAUUUAAUGAUUACAUGUUAAACAUGUCUAUUGCUAGUAAUGAAUUGAGUGUAUGUAAAAUAUGUUUAUUACUAGUGAUGAAUUGAGUACAUGUUAAAUAUGUCUAUUUUUAGUGUUGAAUUGUUCUAUUACAAAGCAUUACAUAUUGCAUUGCAUGGGGUGAGACGAUAUGUACGAAGAAGAUGGAACGAGUAAACUGAUGGACAUGAUUGAUAGAUUGAUAAGUGUCAAAUGAACCCUUUGAGAUAUAAAUCCCAACAAAAUCAAUUAAUGAUUCUAAUUAACCUUCCAAGAAAUAAUCAUUGGCAAAUUGAAGGAUGAAUAACAAAUUCCCACGGCUCUUUAAAGAAAAUUGAGAAAAAAACUACUUCUAAAAAUCAUAAGAAAGAAAUCUUGCACAAAGAAACUAACUCCUAGAGUUGAAAAAUUUAUUAAUGAAUGUAAUAGGCCCAAUUCGCCCGGCCCAUUAUAAACCAAAAAUAAUAAAUGGCCCAAAAUUAGUCAAAGUCCAAGUUUUUUUUUUACAAAUAAUAAAAUAACUCAAUUAACCCAAAUAAAUCCUCAAACCCAAUAAAAAUAUAUAACCCAAUUAGCCCAAAUAACCCAUUACCCCAAGCCCAAAACACUAAGGAUUUUUUCAGCAGAAACCCUAGAAAUUUCAGCCACUGCAGCCUCUAGUCGAUUCUUCCACUCGUGCCAUGCUCCACGAACGACUCCUCCACGCCAUACACACCUGCAACUGAAAAUAACCACAAGCAGUAGACAGCAAAUGACAAUGAUGAAAUUUAUAUUUUUUAUUUUAUUUAUUUAUUUUUGUUUUUCGGCUAUAAAACCGAAGAAAAACGAUAUAAAUGGGGGGUUUUUUUUCUUUUUUCUUCUAGUCACAAAGAGAAUAGCAGAGAUACUAAAAAUCCAUUCGAAAUUAGCUUUAAGGUGAUUUUAGAUUGUAUUCUUCUUGGAUUUUCAUUUCUGUUUCGUCAUUCCUUAUCUAUUGCAUGAAAAUAAAUUUAUAAGAAAGAAAAGAAAGAAAGAAGACUUAUUUGUUGUUGGAGGAGGCGUUGAACUCCUUGUUUGCUUCGUCGAAACUGAAAUCAAGGCGAAGAUUUUGAAGCCUAUGAGCAAGGCUUUCAGAUUUGUGGUCGAACGGGACUAAACUUGGCCCUUGCUUCAUGGCCGUUGGCCGAAUAUGGAGGCAAAGCAACAAUGGAAAGGUCUCUUAGGUUCGGCCAAGUAAAUAGGGAAUAGGUUUUAGGGUUUUUCUUUUUUUUUUAAUUGGCAUUUAAAUGGUUGCAUAUUGGAUUUUAGUUUUUUAGAAUUGAUUGUAUGCAGAAUUCAAAACGGUGCCAUAAGCUGGAUCCACGCUUUGGCGCUUCAGAUGGUUAAUUUGCGCAUAUAGUCCUUUUCUUUCGCACUGACUUUUUAAUUAGUCCUUAUUCACAUUUUAUUUGUUUUAAAUUUCUCGUUAGAAUUUGCGCGAUAUUUCAGUUCAGCCCGGAUUUAAACAUUGUGCUUUGAGACUCGGUAUAUUUCCAGUUUCGAUCCUUGCACAUUCUCGCACAUUGCAUUUUAGUUCUUUUUUUAUUUCAAUAGUUUAAUUUAUUAAUUAUCCCUUUCAUUUUAACUUUAUUUUAAUUGAGUUUCUUUAUUUCUAUGUAAUUCAUCAUUAUUUUUUUUAAAAAAAAUCACUUAGUAUUCAUUUUUUAAUUCUUAUUUAUUUAUUUUUUUAGCUACUUUGAUAAUUUUAUUUUAUUUUUUAAAAUUAUUAUUGUAAAAUUUUUAUAUCAUAUCACUUAACAUUUUGUAUAAUAUUUUUUCUUAAUUUUUUUUGUAUUAUUAUAUAUAUAUAUGAUUCAUGAUAGAAUGCUAUGUAUAUUAUUAAUUUUAUAUUACUUUAUACAUGUGAUUUCUUUUAAACUUACCCUUAUAUUUUGUUAUAUAUAUUUCUUUUAUUAUUUCAAGGAAAAAUCCACAUAUUUUAUGUAUCAUUUAAAUGAUUAUUAUUCACAUAAUUGGUGCAUAUAUUUGAUCAUAUUAUUUUAAAUAUAUAUAUAUUUUUUAAAAAAAAAGGAAAUCCAUUUGUAUAUGUAAUAAUGUUGUUAAAAUAUAUUACGUAUAUAGCUUAUGAUAAAGUUAAUUCAAUCUUAUAGUUUAUAUUUUAAUUCCAUGAUAUUUUAUAUAAUUUCUACUUGUAUUUCUUUCCAAAUUUAUUAUAUGCAUAAUUUAUUCUUUAAAUAUAUAUAUAUAUUAAUAUUUCUCUGUUAGUUAAGAUUUUUUCAUGUACAUAUAAUUUUAUUAUAUAUUGGUCUGUUCAUCUUUCAUGUAUAUUGUUCAUUCCUUAUUUUUAUUGUAUCUUCAUUAUAUAUUGUUUACAUCGAUUUUUUUUAUUAUUGUAUGUAUAUUAUCACCUUUAAAUAGAUAUGUAUUGUUUUUGAAAUAUUUUUGUAUGAUAUUUGCUCCGAAUUUCUUCUUUCACAAUUUUUUUAUUUUAAUACCCAUUUACAUAUUUUUAAGUUUAUUUUUAUAUAUGUAAACCAUUGUCAAACCCUAGCAUGCAUUAUUUAUUUGUAAGUUUUUCAUAUAGUUUUUAAAUUGUUGUGUAUUAUAUUAGCUCUUAGUGUCCAUAUUGCUCUGUAUAUUAUGUGUUGUGUUUUACUUUUCAUGUUAUUUUAUAUAUUAUUAUUGUAUAUUGUCAAUCAGUCUUUUGUACUAUUACUUCAAUUUCUGUUCAUCUAUGUUCAAAACUUGUUAUAUUUUAUUCUAAUUUAUUUUUUGAAUGUGAGCUCAUUGCUAUUGUGUGUAUGUUAAUUUGUUCUUUUUUGUCCACUUGUAUAAUAUUUCAUAUAUGUAUACUGAUUCAUGUUUGUAACUUUGAUUUUUUUUUUAUAUUAUCGCACUGUGGUUCAAGUUUCAAUGUUUUGAUUGAUAAUAAUCGUUUUUUAUUUUCAAGUCGAAUAAAAGCGUUUUGAGCAAAUUCUUAAUUUUCUUUAUCAUUCAAAAAUUCUAAAAUAAGGCCAUAUCCAAUAUUUGGGGAGUUCGAAAAAUCGUGCUCAAUCGUAUUGGGUAUGAUUUUUCCGGUGAACUAAAUAUUUGGAUAACCUUUUUACGAGUUUUCAAAAGUCGAAAAUCAAUCACAUUUUAAAGGUAUAAGGGAUCAUAUUCAAUCGUACUGGGUAUGAAACUGCAUAUCUUUGAAACGAGAGAAUUUUGACUACUAAUUUAAACUAUUCAAACAUUUUAAAAAGGGUCAUACUUUGGAAAAUCUUUUAUUUAAAAAAGGUCUUUUGACAUAAGGAUUGAAUCAAAUCAAUUUGGUACCAAUUUUUGGGCGUAGUGAGGAUGCUAAUCCUUCCUCAUGCGUAAUUGACUCCCGAACCCGUUUUUUAUUUUACGAGCACUAAAUUUAUUUGUCAUUGAAUAAAAACGUUUUAAUAGGUGGUCCAAUCACACCUAAAUCAAUAGAUUGGUGGCGACUCCACAUUUUCGUUUUCAAAAGUCGAUCCCCAUUGUUUUCCAAAUAAAAAGGGUUUCGACAGCUUGGCGACUCCAUUGGAGAUUGAAUAAAGAGAGUCAGGUCAUAAAAUUGAUUAUUUGCUAUCCUUUUGUCAAAGAAUUGAAAAUUUGUUUUGAAAAUCAUGAUUCUUUUAAUUGCAUUUGUUUGCAUGAUUGUUGUGGUUCGAGUAUUGUAGAAUAAUAUGGCAUUGCAUUGCAUGACCGCUGUGGUUAUACCUAUUAAGUGGGAGUAAGAAACUAUGCUUUCGUGAGGUUUUCACCUCCGUAUGGGCUAGUGGAUUGCUUCCGGGAUACAUCUGUACCUAUGAUUUCGGGAGAUUUUCAUCUUCGCAUGGUCAUAGGGAAAUGUAUUCCCCUGAACUGAACUCGAUUCAUAUGAGCCUAUAAUGGGUGAGAAUUGAGGAAUCUGUUGGUUCAGGUACCCUUUCUUUAGAGCCGAACCACAUAUAGUGAAUCUUGAGAAGCCAUCUUACGUAGAACCUUGCCCAAAUGUAGUGGUCACCUGAAUAGGUACUUUAUUUGAUAUUUAUUUCACUUGUACUAACGUGUUUUGUUUUUGUUUUGUUUAUAAUUACAUUGCAUUACAUCAUCAUAGAAAGGAGGUGUUGAUUCAUAUUUGAUUACUAAAUAGAACAGUUUGUCAUAAGAAAAAGAAUUUCCUUAUGAAGUGGAUUAUAAUACGGUUGUCUGAAUUGACGGAAGAAGGCUGACAGUUCGUGGAGAAAAACAAGUCUUUACUUGAAGAUUUAAGCCGAUAAAGAUUGUUUCAGAACCGUCGCGUCUCGAUUUUCUUAACAGAGCUAAUUAAUGUCGUGAAGAUAAUGAGUCAUGGCUUGGAUCAAGUAAAGAAUGGGCUAGUGGAGGCAUUUAUUGGAGGCUUGCGAGAUCUGGAUUUCACGAAGAAAAGGGAUUGGUGUUUUCGCCUGGAAUAUGAAAGCAAGGCCGUAUAUGUAAUCCGUUUUAUGUAAAGGAAUUUGUUUUCUAGAAAAGUUGUUCUAAUGGAAUUAAAUUCAAAAUCAACACCUCUCUUUCUUUUGCAUUCAUCCCAUACAUUUGCAUUGCAUUGCAUCAUUUGCAUUAAAUUUUCAUAAAAGGGGUCCCUAAUUAGUUGAAAUCAUUUCAGUUAAUCUGGGAACCAAUAAAAACUUACCAACCAAACGUCGUUACGGUACCCGUGUUAAGACAAAAGAUAUGGAUCAAAGAUUGGAAAGACUUGAACAACUUCAAAGAGAGAUGCAAGACCAGUUACAAAUAUAGAUGCAAGAGCAACUGGCGAAGAUUAGGCAAGAUAUGAGGGAUCUGGUGCUAGAGUCUCAAAGGAAUAUAUUGAACCAAUUGUCUCAAUUGUUGACAAAGAGGCUUGAAGAAAAGAAAAGUUUCAUGAUCAAUACUUGGAAGGAGAAUGAGGAGCCUCUCUACCCUCUGGGUUUCACCCCAACAAAUGCUCAGCCACAAGGUGUACCUAUUGUGAGAAUUCAGCAAUAUCAGGCCGGUACCUCUGCACCGGUAGAUUACCCGACAGGCUCAGGCUCUAAGCCGAGGGGCAACCCAACAAAUCUUGAAGCUCCUGAUCUAGAUGAAAUGGAAAAAGCAAAGAGGGAAUUACCAAGACAACUUGAGGAUCGGUAUAGGUGGUUGAAGGAAAAAUUGAAAGAUAUGGAGAGUGUUGAUUUCUACUCUGGGAUUGACGCAAAGGAUCUAAGUUUGUACCCCGAUCUAGUACUCCCGCCAAAAUUUAAGAUUCCAGAAUUUGAAAAAUACAAUGGGACUAGUUGUCCUGAAGCUCACAUCACAAUGUCCUGUCGAAGGAUGAUAGGGUAUGUUAACAACGACCAAUUAUUAAUUCAUUGCUUCCUGGACAGUCUGAUCAGGUCAGCAGCUAAAUGGUACAAUCAAUUGAGUCGUGUUAAAAUCCAUUCGUGGAAGGACUUAGCAUAGGCUUUCAUGAAGCAGUAUAGCCAUGUAACGACAUGGCAUCUGACAGAAUUACCUUGCAAAGUAUGGAAAAAAAACAAAAUAAGAGCUUCAGGCAAUAUGCCCAAAGAUGGAGAGAGGUAGCAACACAAGUCCAAUCGCCUCUUUUAGAGAAGGAGACUGCGAUGCUUUUCAUCAAUACUCUAAAAGCCCAGUUCAUUAAUCAUAUGUUGGAAAGCGCUACUCUGAGCUUUUCAGAUAUAGUAAUGUCUGGUGAGAUGAUUGAAGAUGCGAUAAAAAAUGGGAAAAUAGAUAUGGGAGAAAGUGCCAAAAGGUCAACCUCGGGAAACAAGGCAAAUGAAGCGAACAUCGUGAGCAUGCCUUUCAAAUUUGUCAACAUAGGCCAGCUAAGGGUUAUAACCACUAAUUAUCAAAGAGAAUUUGAAUGACAUAUCCAAAGAGAGGUCCAGGGAAUAAAAGUUUCCAAACCCUUAUGUACUUGGGGUGUUUUAAGCAAUGGGAUUGUGGAAGAAAUCCUUGUAUUUUUAGAGCUGAUUUACAGUAAUAUUCAAAACACGCUUGUUGUCUUAAGCCUAGGGGCAAUAAGAAUUCUUUUGUGAAAUAGGCUUGUGCCCAAAAAAUUUUAUUUCAAUAAAAUGCAUUCUUUUUGAAUAAAUAUUCUUUCAUUCUUUAUAUAUUCUUUUGUUCUUUGGACUUUUUUUUUAUAAAAAAAUAUGCUUUCAUUCUUCAUUCACGAUCAUACCAUACAAAUAACUAUCUUUGGAAUUUGCCUUUGUACCUACUAUAGGUCCCCAGAUAUCAAUGACAUGAGCAACGCUGUAACUGACUCCCUUUUGGGGUGAGAUAGGUGUUUAAGUGGAUCUCAGGACUUUGAAGAUGACAGAGAUUGUGACUUAUUUCCUGAUUUGUCAAGGACGUUAGAACAAGAUGAAAAAAUAGAUCCUACUUUAUGAAGGGUCAAUGGACAUUGUGAUCAAGGGGCAAAGAUUGAAACCUGAGUCACUACAAGAACAAAAUGAAUUGUCUUUGAGUUACUUCAAGAAAUUCAAAGAUGUUUUCACAUGAUCAUGUCGAGAUAUAUUUGAGAUAUUAAGAUCUAUGGAUGAUACAAAAUGUCAAUACAGUGCUAGAAGGACACAUGUUAAAGGUUUCAUGGUAGCUACGCUAAUCAUGAGGUUUGGGUAUUGUUGAUCCAUCAUGGAAGGGGAUUGCAUUGGUUAAAGCCACAUUCAUUUCUUUACAGAUUUUCUCCAUGUGGGAUAAGGAUGUUAUCAGGCCAUUCUCAUCGAUUCAUCUUAGCAAUCAUUGAUUACUUCACGAAGGGGGUGAAGGUCGCUUCAUAUGUCAAUAUUACAAGAUCGAUAGUCAUCAAAUUCUAAAAAAAAAAGAAAAAAAAGGUUGACGAAAUAAUGUUAGAAAUGAUCACUUUCAAAUACAACUACACAAUGUCAAAAGUUUGCAGUCUAUUCAAAGAUCAAACACUAUAUCACAGUGCAGCAAAGGCAUUCAAAAAGAAAAACAAAAGUACAAAAAUAGAAAAAAGAAAAGGAAAAAUAAACAACAGAACAAGGGUCAUAGUGAAAAAUGACCGAGUCUUGUAAGGAUUGGCAUAAAGAAGUUAUCAUUUACCCUCUAUAUUUGUCGAACAUGGGCCUGGAUCUUCACCGGGGCAACACAUUGAUUUAUAGGACUGAAACAGUUUUUGGGAACGAGAUGUUUUGUUCUUUUUCUUCGAGUCUUGGUAGAACUAAAGUUGGAUGAAUCAGAAUGGGUCAAAUCCUGAUAUGAUUAAUAAAAUUUAAAAGAUAUCCAUCGCAGUCAGAUGAUGCGAGCUUAUGACAGAAAGGUCUAUCCUCGAAUUCCAUGAGGGGAGCUUGAAAUUGAAGAAUAUCCUUCUUAUACAAAAGAACUUCAAAGGAAGAAAUAUGCCGAACCAGGAGGGACCUUAGGUAGUAAAGAAGGCCUAUUCUGGAGGAACAUUGAUAUUGACCGGAAGGAUUUGCCCAGUCCAGAAAAUUCAAAAUACAGUCAAAGAGUAUUUUACCUAAAAUGGGAGAGGCCAAGGUAAAAACCCGCAAAGGGCGCCUUGAGACCUUAAAAAAAAUAAAAAUAAAAAAACAGAAAUAAAAAAAUAAAAAUUUAAAAAUAAAAAUAAAAAAAAAUAAAAAAAUAAGAAAGAAAAGAAUAGGCCAGGGCGAAAACCCACAAAGGGCGCUUUGAGACCAAAGGGGAUUUGAGUUGAAAACCCGAAAAGGGCAGCUCAAAUUUUGAACAAAGUUGGGCGUACAAUAGUCUUGCCGUGCCUGAAUUAACAAUGAAAGAAGUAUGUUACGUCUUGGGGCAUUGACAAAGUACUUCGGAUCCCCUAAACACAGAUUGAGCUCAGAAUGGUCCUCAAUAAGUUGGUACAGAGAAGCUCAAGCUGCGAUAUUUGGGGCACCUAGUUUUCCAUUUUUACCCAUUUUUUGUUUGUUAUCUUUGAUUACCUUGUUAUUUUCAGGUCACGUCCUAAUAGAUUUCUUUCUUGGUUGCAUUUACUUGUUUGUUUUGAGCUAUGUUCUCAAUUAAUUCCUUUCUUGUCCACGGUUAUGAUCUCUUUCAAGCAUUUUGAUUAAAAGAAUGAUUUUUGGGCUAAUAAUACUUUCAUAAAGGGGGGUUUCGCAUAUUACUUUGGGAAGUUUUUAAAUAAUACAGGAACCUGAAACAGGACUAUUGUUUAAAACUUACCAAGCUUAAGGAUUUGAAAUGUUUAAACCCAAAUUGAGAUUAUCUCUUUGGAUUUUCUGUCAAAGAUAUUAAUUGGUGUUAUAAUCCUGGAAAAGAACAAGUAAUGGGGUUAUUCUUGAGAAAAGAAAAAUGGUAUUCUGUAUUCAUGCAGAUAUCAUGCAUAUACAUCUGUUCACUAUACCCAGGGAAUGGUAUAACAGAUCAAAUUGAUUGAAAAUCAUAUACUUCUGAGUUGUUACGGGAUAGAUUGAGGAAAUCAAAUGAUUAUUCCCCUGAGGUUGUAGUGGGAAGUUCAAACCUUAUGUCCUAGGAGUUACAAUGUAAGGGACUUUGAAAUUACAGCGGGGCAAACUUGUUGAGCAGAAUGUGCUUGUUUCUUUGAGUUUUCUGUCAAGAAUACCAGUCGAACAAGAUGGCAGCAUAACAAAUCAGUGAUAGUACCCUGGUGAAUAACGAGCGAUGAUCUUUUUAAAAAAAAUCAUUUAAAAAGACCAUUCUCAUUUUUGCAUUCAUUCAUAACACAUCUAGUUAGGAGAAUUUGAUUCAUUUCGAUCAUAGCAUCCUAAUUAUUUGACAUCAGCAUCACAUCUAGUUAGGAGCAUUCGAUUCAUUUUGAUCGUAGCAUCCUAAUUAUUUGACAUCACACAUAUCUCAUUUAGUUAGGAGCGUUGGAUUCAUUUCAAUCAUAGCAUCCUAAUUAUUUGGCACAAACACGCGCAUAUAACAUCAAGUCUACAGGACAUGUUCCCUAGAGGAUAGUGUAGCGACAUUGGUGAAGUCAGAUCUUGCCUUCCUGAAGUUGCAGCAGAAAAGAUCGAAGACUAUAACGGGUCCUAUAUCCCUGAAGUUACAGUGGAGCAGACCACAGAUGGUGAAUCUUAUCUCCAUGUAUCGGCAAUGGAGCGGAUUUAAGCCACGAGCCUUAUCUUCCUGAGGUUGCAGUGGGGCAGGCUCAAUAUACAGGUCUUAUCUCCCUAAGGUUGCAGUGGAGCAGACUGAAGAUUGAAGAUAGGAAGAGGCAAAUCUUAUCUCCAUGUAUCGGUAAUGGAGCGGAUUUAAGCCCCAAGCCUUAUCUCUCUAAGGUAGCAAGAGAGCAGGUUGAAGAUGAUAGUCUUAUCUUCCUAAGGUAGCAAGGAAGCAGACUGAAGAUUGAAGAUAUUAUCUUCCUAAGCAGUAGUGGAGCAGAUCGAGGAUGGCGAAUAUUAUCUCCAUGUAUCGGCAAUGGGGUUGAUUUUAGCUAUUGACCUUAUCUCUCUGAGGUAGCAAGAGAGCAGGUUGGUGACUGUAGUCUUAUCUUCCUGAGGUAGCAAGGAAGCAGACUAAAGAUUGAAGAUCUUAUUUCUCUAAAUAUAAGCGGAGUAGAUUGAAAGAGGCGAAUCUUAUCUCCAUGUAUCGGCAAUGGAGCAGAUUUAAGCCCUAGAUUUAUUUUCUUGAAGUUGAAGCAGAACAAAUUGUAGAUGGUGAAUCUUAUCUCCAUGUAUCAGCAAUGGAGCAGAUUUAAACCAUCAGCCUUAUCUCUAUGUAGUAACAAGAGAGCAUGCUGAUGAUUGAGUCUUAUCUUUCUAAGGUAGCAAGAAAGUAGACUGAAGAUUUAAGAUCUUAUCUCCCUAGACAGUAGUGGAGCAGAUCGAAGAUGGUGAAUUUUAUCUCCAUGUAUCGGCAAUAGAGUAGAUUAUAGUCACUGACCUUAUCUCUCUGAGGUAGCAAGAGAGCAAGUUGAAGAUGAUAGUCUUAUCUUCCUGAGGUAGCAAGGAAGCAGACUAAAGAUUAAAGAUCUUAUCUCCCAAAGCAGUAGCAGAACAGAUCGAAGAUUGUGAAUCUUAUCUCCAUGUAUCGGCAAUAUAGCAGAUUUAAUCCACCAGCCUUAUCUCUCUGAGGUAGUAGGAGAGCCGGUUGGUGAUUAUUGUCUUAUCUUCCUAAGGUAGCACGGAAGCAGAACAAAGAUUGAAGAUCUUAUCUCCCAAAGCAGUAAUGGAGCAGAUCAAAAGAUGGCGAAUCUUAUAUCCAUGUAUCAGCAAUGGAGCAGAUUUUAGCUACUGGCCUUAUUUCUUUGAGGUAGCAAGAGAGUAGGUUAAAGAUGAUAGUCUUAUCUUCCUAAAGUAGCAAGGAAGCAAACCGAAGAUUGAAGAUCUAUUUCCCUAAAAUAGUUGCAGAGCAGAUUGAGGACGGUGAAUCUUAUCUCCAUGUAAUGGCAAUAGAGCAGAUUUAAGUCACCAGUCCUAUUUUCCUAGAGUUACAAUCAAGAUUCAGCAAAACUGGGCAAACUUGGCCCUAUUUUAGGUCUUUGCUUCAUUUCGUUACACGACAAUGAGUAAAGAGGGGCAGCUGUAAUAGGCCCAAUUCGCCCGGCCCAUUAUAAACCAAAAAUAAUAAAUGGCCCAAAAUUAGUCAAAGUCCAAGUUUUUUUUUUACAAAUAAUAAAAUAACUCAAUUAACCCAAAUAAAUCCUCAAACCCAAUAAAAAUAUAUAACCCAAUUAGCCCAAAUAACCCAUUACCCCAAGCCCAAAACACUAAGGAUUUUUUCAGCAGAAACCCUAGAAAUUUCAGCCACUGCAGCCUCUAGUCGAUUCUUCCACUCGUGCCAUGCUCCACGAACGACUCCUCCACGCCAUACACACCUGCAACUGAAAAUAACCACAAGCAGUAGACAGCAAAUGACAAUGAUGAAAUUUAUAUUUUUUAUUUUAUUUAUUUAUUUUUGUUUUUCGGCUAUAAAACCGAAGAAAAACGAUAUAAAUGGGGGGUUUUUUUUCUUUUUUCUUCUAGUCACAAAGAGAAUAGCAGAGAUACUAAAAAUCCAUUCGAAAUUAGCUUUAAGGUGAUUUUAGAUUGUAUUCUUCUUGGAUUUUCAUUUCUGUUUCGUCAUUCCUUAUCUAUUGCAUGAAAAUAAAUUUAUAAGAAAGAAAAGAAAGAAAGAAGACUUAUUUGUUGUUGGAGGAGGCGUUGAACUCCUUGUUUGCUUCGUCGAAACUGAAAUCAAGGCGAAGAUUUUGAAGCCUAUGAGCAAGGCUUUCAGAUUUGUGGUCGAACGGGACUAAACUUGGCCCUUGCUUCAUGGCCGUUGGCCGAAUAUGGAGGCAAAGCAACAAUGGAAAGGUCUCUUAGGUUCGGCCAAGUAAAUAGGGAAUAGGUUUUAGGGUUUUUCUUUUUUUUUUAAUUGGCAUUUAAAUGGUUGCAUAUUGGAUUUUAGUUUUUUAGAAUUGAUUGUAUGCAGAAUUCAAAACGGUGCCAUAAGCUGGAUCCACGCUUUGGCGCUUCAGAUGGUUAAUUUGCGCAUAUAGUCCUUUUCUUUCGCACUGACUUUUUAAUUAGUCCUUAUUCACAUUUUAUU